CCUACGGGCGGCAGCAGUGGGGAAUAUUGGACAAUGGGGGGAACCCUGAUCCAGCCAUGCCGCGUGUGUGAAGAAGGCCCUCGGGUUGUAAAGCACUUUCAGUGAGGAAGAACGCCUGGUGGUUAAUACCCAUCAGGAAAGACAUCACUCACAGAAGAAGCACCGGCUAACUCCGUGCCAGCAGCCGCGGUAAUACGGAGGGUGCGAGCGUUAAUCGGAAUUACUGGGCGUAAAGCGCGCGUAGGUGGCUUGAUAAGCCGGUUGUGAAAGCCCCGGGCUCAACCUGGGAACGGCAUCCGGAACUGUCAAGCUAGAGUGCAGGAGAGGAAGGUAGAAUUCCCGGUGUAGCGGUGAAAUGCGUAGAGAUCGGGAGGAAUACCAAUGGCGAAGGCGGCCUUCUGGACUGACACUGACACUGAGGUGCGAAAGCGUGGGUAGCAAACAGGAUUAGAUACCCCGGUAGUC
rnacentral:rRNA from 1 species